rnacentral:rRNA from 1 species
CUGGUUGAUCCUGCCAGUAAUAUAUGCUUGUCUCAAAGACUAAGCCAUGCACACGUAAGAUCAGACAUAGGUCGAAAGGCCAAUUGUCAAUCUGUGGACGGCUCAUUAUAACAGUUAUACUCGUAGCCACUGGUACGGAAACCAUUCGUGGUAAGGAUAACUCUGUUAACUGCAGCGAUAAUACUUAUAGACAGAGCAGGUGUAAACCUGCUGGCAUUAGGGUCUGGAGGAAACAGCCCUAUUAUAACUCCGCACUUGUGUGGAGGUCGACCAUCAGUCCGCAAGGGUUGGUUAGUUUAUUAAGGUUCAAUAAGACUUUGAUUGAAUUAGUCAYAUCUGAUGGCCAGGAAGACGAAUUUCUUAUCUAUCAGCUCAAGUUGUCUCGGUAAGGGCAAGACAAGGCUAUGACGGAUACGGAGAAUCAGUGUUUGAUUCCGGAGAGGGAGCCUUAAAAAUGGCUACUACAUCUAAGGACGGCAGCAGGCGCGAAAAUUGCCCAAUCUUAAUUCAAGGAGGCAGUGACAAGAAAUAACAGCUCUGCACCAUUCGGUGAAGAGGUACUAUUUAUAGUUUGGAAUGAUUUUAGAUUAAAAUUCUAUUAGAAACGACUAGAGGAAAAGUCUGGUGCCAGCACCCGCGGUAAUUCCAGCUCUAGUAGCGUAUAUUAAUACUGUUGUAGUUAAAACGCUCGUAGUUGACCUAAGAGUCUUCGGUGUAAGCGCGCGAGCUGCAGCCAGUUCUUGAUUGCUGUGUUAUAGCAGAGGUCGGGAAUUGGGUUCUGCGGAUCAUCUAAUGCACACGUUCGCGUGACGCAUGCGUGCCCACUGAGGAUUCGCUCCUACCAAUUUAUUGGUAGGCAAUUUUGUACAACUGUAAACAAAUCAGAGUGCUCAAAGCAGGCAUUGUCUGGGGUUUCGGCUCCAAUUUUGCUUGAAUGAUUUAGCAUGGGAUUGUCUUUCAGCCGUGCUGGUAGCAAUACCGGCAUGGCGCUUGUAAUGUGGAAGAGGGAGAGGGCUCAAGUACUAUAGUGCUAGAGGUGAAAUUUAGAUACCACUAUAUGACUACCAGAUGCGAAAGCUGUUAUGCCCACUACAUUCCAGUCGAUCAGGAACGAAAGUUAGGGGAUCGAAGAUGAUUAGAUACCGUCGUAGUCCUAACUAUAAACGAUACCAACAAGAGAUUGGUAGUGAAAUCAUAUAAUAAUCCUCUCAGCAUCCAAGGGAAACCUUAAGUUUUUGGGUUCUGGGGGGAGUAUAGUCGCAAGGCCGAAACUUAAAGGAAUUGACGGAAAGGCACCACCAGGAGUGGAGUUUGCGGCUUAAUUCGACUCAACGCGGGAAGACUCACCAGGUCAGGACAGAGGUAUGAUUGACAGGUUGAGAGUCUUUUCUUGAUUCUCUGGAUGGUGGUGCAUGGCCGUUCUUAGUUCGUGGAGUGAUUUGUCUUGUUAAUUCAGUUAACGAACGAGACCUUAACCUGCUAAAUAGCAACAAGCUGGUGCAASCCAGCCCGUWUCUAAGGUGUCCGUAUGGAUGCCUGUGAAAUUUGUUCCAGCGCUUCGGCGCUAGCUUCUUAGAGGGACAAUACUUCGUUUUUAUUAGAGUAAGGAAGUUUAAGGCAAUAACAGGUCUGUGAUGCCCUUAGAUGUCCUGGGCAGCACGCGUACUACACUGUUUAUACUAAUAAGUUUAUACAAAGUAAUCACUUUGUGGUUACUAGCCUUCUCCUUAAGGGAGUGGGRARUCUUUACAAACAUCAACAUGACAGGGAUAGCUGCUUGGAACUUUGGCUUGAACGAGGAAUUCCUAGUAAGCGUAAUUCAUUAUAUUACAUUGAUUACGUCCCUGCCUUUUGUACACACCGCCCGUCGCUCCUACCGAUGGGGUAGAAAGGUGAAUUUGACGGACAAGGGUCCCCUUUGGAAAUUAACUGAACCUUUUUAUCUGUAGGAAGGAGAAGUCGUAACAAGGUCUUCGUAGGUGAACCUGCAGAAGGAUC